UUCUCACGCUCCCUCUCCGCUCCCCGGCCCCUCACACGCAUGCGUCAAUCGGCAGCUUGUAACAAGAAGAUUUCCAUCAUAUCUUUCUUUACAAACCCUGAAAUUAUAGAAAAAAAAAUACGCCCGUUUUGGGAGGAAAAUCCUCCUCACCCCGACCUGCAGAACAAUGUAGCCCACAGCUGAGGACGCCCCCGACUUUCUUUCUUUUUUUUUUUUUUUAAACAGCCGACCGGAUGCCUGCAAAAAGAAAAAGCUCCUCAAAUCCUCCCAAUCGGCGCGUUGUGAUGUUCAUCAGCCACCAUGAGGUGUACCAGCACUGAGUCUGAGACCUGAACCUGCAGACAUGCUGCAAAGCUCCCGUGAGUCAGAACUUACAUCCUGAAUUGUGAAGUGGGAAAACCUUCACAUGACAAACAGCUGCUUGUGAAAUCGGAGCUGGACUGUUAGGUAUUGUAAUAAAAGAAAAAAAAAACAGACACAGCUCAAAUAAUGAAAAAGAGACAGUUGAAGAAUUGAAAAGCUUUUGAAGCCAGACAGACUGAUGGAGCGGGGGAAAAAAAAUACAAUUCUACAAAUCUGUAUCAGUGAAUGAGUGAAUGAUUAAUUAAUUUUUGUUGAAUGAUCUGUUCUAGCCGUGCGAGAUAUCAGUUUCCAUUUCUUUUUACACUUUUACAGAAGAUCUCAAGAGACCGCCAGUUCAAAAGACGGUUCAAUUUAGAGCUCCCAUCGGAAAUGGUUUCAGAGAGUCUUUGCCAUACGUUGGGCUUUGAUGUGUUUUAACUGUCGUAAUCUCACUGUUCGGAGAUGGGAAAAUAAAUUCUGUUAAUUUUU